UCUGCCUAUCUCUUAUAAGGAUAUGUAUGUGUACAUGUUAUAUAUAUUAUGUAUAUAUGUAUAUAUUUUAUCUGUGUAUAUAUAUUUAUAUGUAUGUGUGUGUAUAUAUCUAACUAUCUCUUUCAAUGCUUUGCCUUGGAGCACAACCACUGCACUGUAAGGAAGUCUGAGCUAGCCCAUUUGGAGAGGCCACUUGGAGAGAAACUGAGACCCCUCUAGCCAACAGUGAGCAGCAUUCUCCAGAAUAUGUGUGAUUGGGCCUUCAGAUGAUUCCAGAUCUCGGUGUUUGAGUCUUCCAGGGCAAACCCCACCAAAAGAACAACUCCAGUAUUGUGAGAGUUGCCUCUGAACCUGAACUAGCAGAAUGUUCACAGAAAAGCAAUGCCUGGAAAUUAAAAUGAGUUAAACUAUGAGAUCAUGGUUUGAAGACAUGUCAUACUAUUUUCAAGACAAGGUUAAAAACCAAAGUACUAACCAUUUGUGGCCAUUAAAAUGGCAGGGCUUCCUCUUGUCAAAAAUGUAAUCAUAUGCAAAUGUGAUGCCUGGUGAGCACUGGCCAUCUGGUGGAUAUGAGAUGACCAGCCAAUAGGCUGGAAUGGCGAGGGGAAGAGCCAGGACCCAUGAAAAUGGUGGGGGGGGGCUGCAAGAGAACCAGUGGCAGCAACCCCCUAUCUGCACUCCUGUUAUAUGACAAUAAUAAAUUGCUAUUUGAGUAGUCAGCUGAGUUGGGUUACCGACAGCUGCAGGCAUUUCUAGCUGACAAGUCUGGAGAAUAUGCAGAACACCAGAUAAGUGGCCUCAUAGAAAUCCCUGCCUCAACAGAAACUCCUUUCCCCUCUAGAGAAGCCUUGUGUUCAGUGAUGAAGGGCUUGGCUAACUAUAGCCCACAGGCCAAGUCCAGCACUCUGGACUUGCAAUAAAGUUUAAAAAUAAAGUUUUAUUGGCACAUGACCACUCUCAAUUGUUUACAUAGUAUCUAUGGCUGCUUUUGCCCUACAACAGCAGAGUUGAGAAGUUGCCACAGAAGUUGUGAGAAACCGUGCAAUCUGUCUAAAUGACCUGUCCAAAGACAUCCAAACU